UACGUAGGGUGCAAGCGUUGUCCGGAAUUAUUGGGCGUAAAGGGCUCGUAGGCGGUCUGUCGCGUCGGGAGUGAAAACUCAGGGCUUAACCCUGAGCCUGCUUCCGAUACGGGCAGACUAGAGGUAUGCAGGGGAGAACGGAAUUCCUGGUGUAGCGGUGAAAUGCGCAGGUAUCAGGAGGAACACCGGUGGCGAAGGCGGUUCUCUGGGCAUUACCUGACGCUGAGGAGCGAAAGUGUGGGGAGCGAACAGG
rnacentral:rRNA from 1 species